GGUUUGGAUCCUAGAAGCUCCUGAGUAAGUGAGGAAAUAAAGGACCUCAGGUGUGAGCUCUAUGAACAUCAGAACUGGAAAUCCAGGGAGAGCAUGGCACUGAGCAAUCUGAUCUUUCAAAUGCUGUAACAGGUUUUGAAACUUAUUAUCUUUGUAGGUAAGCACUGGGUAAGUGCAUUUUAUCACAGUCUGUACAGGUGACAUUUGAUGGAGCAUAACCUAGCUCCCUGCAUCCAUGGUACAAGUGAAAUUCAGCCAUAAAAUAAUUCCCUGACUCAUCUUUAAUUAAGUGUACAAUGCAGGAAAGGAAUUAGUGUCUUCCAGUAUAUGGGAGGUAUAGAGAAAUAGCCCUACAUUUUCAAAAUAGCCCAUUAUUAACAAUCUGUACCAAAUCGAUUGGUACCCACAACUCAGUCCUUAAAUAAGCCAGACAAAAGCUGAAGUAAUUAUUUGGGGGUAAAUUAUUGCCAUUUGGGAAAUGUAAUCAAUGUUUUAUUACAGAAAAAAAGGAGAAUUUUUUUCUUAAUUUCUCUCUUCACUCUACCUCUCCUCAGACCAAUCUCCCUGCCAGAGGUCUAGAAGAAUAAUUUUUGUUUUUUGUUUUGUUUCCUCCCCUACCUUGGCCAGAGAGUUUCAGUCAUCUGAAUGCAGAAAGACAGGACACAUCUUGUAAAGGUUUUACAUUUUAAUAUCCUUUAAUGACCAAUAAUGAAUUCUUUAUAGUUAAUCUGCUGUUCUCGUGAAAACAAUCUAGAUGGUUAAAAAAAUCAAUCAUUAAUGAGCAGUAAAUGACAGCUCCCCAACAACACAGCUGUAUUUUUGUAAAAGUGAUUAAACAUUGUCUGCAUUCAUAAUUGCAUGGUUAAUAAGAAUGUUGAGCACCAAGUCAAGCAUUGUUGCUAAUGAUGACAGAUUAUGAUGCUACAAAUGCUUUGGAGUUAUGGGGCUAAAUUUUCAAAGGCAGUCCUUGGAACAGAAUGCACGCAGACCCACUAAGUAUUCAAUUUGCAUGGACCAUUACCAGGUUUGUGCAUGGCAUUUGGGAGCUUUGCAGUUGAGACUCUUUUGAAAUUCUCGCCCAUUAUGACAGAAAGCAUCUGUAAUUAACAGUAACUGAUCUCCCUCUGCCCAGCUUUGGUGAAAGGUGUAAAAUGCUCUGUGUGCAGCCUGAUGGAGCCCAAAGUCCCUUUGAUGAAGAGGUCUGAAACCUGAAAGGAAGGUAAAAACAGCCCCUUGCGAUGUAAUACAGCCUUGAAGAUAGGUGUAAAUAUCAGAGGCUUGCAAAUGGGUGGGAGAGAGGACAAGUCAUUCAGAAGGAGACUUGGUAAAGUCUCAUCUCUGAGUUCCUAUUGUAGAUAUUUGCUUUUCUCAUUUGGGUCAUAUAAUUAAAUCACUAAAUCUCAGGAAUGCAUUUACAGAUCUAUCUAUUUGAGAUUUUACAUUGUCCUGUGGUUCACUGGGGAUUGGUAACUGUGCUGAGGUGUGAGUUUUUGUUUUUAGUAACUAUGGGCAGAGUGAGUCACUUGAGGAUUGAGCAAGCCCUGCUUGUCUGUUCCUCAGUCUGUCUGUACUCUGAUCAGAUAUGAAGCAAUACUAUUUAUGAGGCUAUACAGAGUCACAAUUUAUAAGGAAAACUAUAUUCUAAAAAGAAAUUUAUGAAUUUUGUAUUCUUGGAAAUCUAUCUCUCUAGAAUGUUGAGGGUCUGUGGAAUACGUGGAGAUAUUAUAUCUUGUGUUAUUAUUUGCUUAUUCUACUCUUUAUGGAUAUCAUAUUGAAUUAGAAUUCUCUAGAAAAACAGAACCAACAGGAUAUCUAUGUAGGUAUGAUUAUAAAAGGGGGAUUUAUUAGAUCCAUUUAUACUACCAGAAAGUGGAAAGUCCUUUAAUGACUGUCUGCAGGGUGGAAAGCUGGAGGAACCAGUAGCUGCUCAGUCCAAGAAGCUGGAGCCUCAGAACAAGAAGGAUCAAUGAUGAAGCCCCAGUCUGGGACCAAACACCUGGAAACCUCCUGGAGAGUUGUUGGUGAGAGUCCUCAGUGGAAGAGUGAAGAAACUGGAGCCCCAUGCCCUCAGGUGAUCGCAGCAGCAAUUGAAGCACCCACUUAAGGAGAAUUGAGCUUGUGUCUGCUACUGAUUCCUUGUUCUUCUACCUUUUUGCUCCAUCCAGGCCCUCAACCUAUUGGAAAGUGCUGCCCACAUUUAGGUUGGGUAUCCACCCUCAGCUUGUUGGCCUACAUGCCAAUCAUUCCUAGAAACACCUCCUUGACACACCCACAAGCCUCUUAAUCUUAGGCAUCUCUUAAUGCAGUCAAGUUGACAAUUCAGAUUUGCCAUAACACUUAACCAUGACUUGGCCUAUAGAACAGAGAAAAAUGUAUAUUAUUUCUUUGAUGUCUUCACAACACCUCUCAGCGUUUUUUUUUUUUUUUUCUUUUUUCUUUUUUCUGCUUCAUUCAGCCUUUGUCUGAGCAAGGGGUUAUCGAUGCUCAUAUUCUGCAUAGAGUUAAACACAUGGUUAUAAGAUGCCUGGAUUUGAAAUGACACCCUAUCAUCCAUGGGUGACACUGUACAUCUCCUGGGGCCUUGCUUUCCCAUUUGCAAAACAGGAAUAAUAUUAGUAAGACUUUGUUAGGAUUACUGUGAGAAUUCAGUGACGUAUACAGAACUUCAUAUGUGCCAGAUAAAAGUUGAUUGUUCCUAUCUCUGUCACUGCUGAGGCCAUAGGUCUAGAGCUGGAGCACUUAAGUACUAUAGCUGGGAUCAGAAUCUCUUUUACUGGGCUGGGUCAUUUUGCAGAGAUCUAAGGCAACAGGCAUUGCCCUUAGUCCAUGUGUGAAGUGGCUGUAUCUGACAGUUACUUACAUAUUACAGGCUAAAAUGUAUUCCUCUUCCUACCCCUAGGAAGGCAUAGUGUAGUCCAGGGAAAGAGGAAACAUUCUGUCAGCAUGGCAGCUGUCUCAAUUAGAGGGUCUCAUAAGAAGUGAAGUAGAGAAACACCAUGCUGUAUGUUGCAUGCUGUGUGUUACUUGUGGAUAUUGCUGCACUGAACAAAACUUAGGAUUUGCUGCAGCCCUAUGGUAAGCUUCCUCUCUGGGUAGCCUCGGCAAUGCCCUUCUCUAACCACUGCUGCUGCCCCCCGUACUCUCCUGUUUCCUGCCACUUACUCUUGUUAAUAUUGACUCCCAAGCUAAGAACAGGCUCUUUGGUCUCAGUCAUGGCAAAUCUCUACACAGAGAAUCCACCUUCAAACCCAGUUCAAUUCAGCACUACUUCUUGUAGUGUCACAGCAAGAUUGAUAUGAAUAGAAUGGUACCAAGGGCUUAGUUUUAAUUUUUUUUUUUAACAACUUUGGUUCUGAGCUUCAUGAUCUACAAAAACAAGGAAUGUGAAAUUUACUGCUCAGGAUUGUUGCAAGAUUAAAUGAGAUAAUGUAAGCUGUGGGAAUUAGUAAAUUUAGUUCUACAAUAUGGUACUCUUUUUGCUCACAUGUUUUUGAAUUUCUACAUUUGCAAGACUUCAUUCUGUGACAUACCCACAGAUGCCUGAACAAGAAUGGUUUUGCAUUGUCUUCUUGUUAUGUUGCAUGUGUAAAAAACCCACAUCCCAUGUUUCUCAGGUUGCCUCCUGGAGGCCAAG
rnacentral:lncRNA from 1 species